rnacentral:tRNA from 1 species
AAGAUCUUAAGUUAUUUUUAAACUAACAUCCUUCAAAGUUGUAAAUAAAAGGUUUCCUUUUAGAUCUUA